rnacentral:rRNA from 1 species
AUGAACGCUAGCUACAGGCUUAACACAUGCAAGUCGAGGGGCAGCAUGGUCUUAGCUUGCUAAGGCCGAUGGCGACCGGCGCACGGGUGAGUAACACGUAUCCAACCUGCCGUCUACUCUUGGACAGCCUUCUGAAAGGAAGAUUAAUACAAGAUGGCAUCAUGAGUCCGCAUGUUCACAUGAUUAAAGGUAUUCCGGUAGACGAUGGGGAUGCGUUCCAUUAGAUAGUAGGCGGGGUAACGGCCCACCUAGUCUUCGAUGGAUAGGGGUUCUGAGAGGAAGGUCCCCCACAUUGGAACUGAGACACGGUCCAAACUCCUACGGGAGGCAGCAGUGAGGAAUAUUGGUCAAUGGGCGAGAGCCUGAACCAGCCAAGUAGCGUGAAGGAUGACUGCCCUAUGGGUUGUAAACUUCUUUUAUAAAGGAAUAAAGUCGGGUAUGGAUACCCGUUUGCAUGUACUUUAUGAAUAAGGAUCGGCUAACUCCGUGCCAGCAGCCGCGGUAAUACGGAGGAUCCGAGCGUUAUCCGGAUUUAUUGGGUUUAAAGGGAGCGUAGAUGGAUGUUUAAGUCAGUUGUGAAAGUUUGCGGCUCAACCGUAAAAUUGCAGUUGAUACUGGAUAUCUUGAGUGCAGUUGAGGCAGGCGGAAUUCGUGGUGUAGCGGUGAAAUGCUUAGAUAUCACGAAGAACUCCGAUUGCGAAGGCAGCCUGCUAAGCUGCAACUGACAUUGAGGCUCGAAAGUGUGGGUAUCAAACAGGAUUAGAUACCCUGGUAGUCCACACGGUAAACGAUGAAUACUCGCUGUUUGCGAUAUACAGCAAGCGGCCAAGCGAAAGCGUUAAGUAUUCCACCUGGGGAGUACGCCGGCAACGGUGAAACUCAAAGGAAUUGACGGGGGCCCGCACAAGCGGAGGAACAUGUGGUUUAAUUCGAUGAUACGCGAGGAACCUUACCCGGGCUUAAAUUGCAGAUGAAUUACGGUGAAAGCCGUAAGCCGCAAGGCAUCUGUGAAGGUGCUGCAUGGUUGUCGUCAGCUCGUGCCGUGAGGUGUCGGCUUAAGUGCCAUAACGAGCGCAACCCUUGUUGUCAGUUACUAACAGGUUCCGCUGAGGACUCUGACAAGACUGCCAUCGUAAGAUGUGAGGAAGGUGGGGAUGACGUCAAAUCAGCACGGCCCUUACGUCCGGGGCUACACACGUGUUACAAUGGGGGGUACAGAGGGCCGCUACCACGCGAGUGGAUGCCAAUCCCCAAAACCUCUCUCAGUUCGGACUGGAGUCUGCAACCCGACUCCACGAAGCUGGAUUCGCUAGUAAUCGCGCAUCAGCCACGGCGCGGUGAAUACGUUCCCGGGCCUUGUACACACCGCCCGUCAAGCCAUGGGAGCCGGGGGUACCUGAAGUGCGUAACCGCGAGGAGCGCCCUAGGGUAAAACUGGUGACUGGGGCU